rnacentral:rRNA from 1 species
ACGCUCGACACCUACGGGAGACAGCAGUGAGGAAUAUUGGUCAAUGGACGCAAGUCUGAACCAGCCAUGCCGCGUGCAGGAUGACGGCUCUAUGAGUUGUAAACUGCUUUUGUACGAGGGUAAACGCAGAUACGUGUAUCUGUCUGAAAGUAUCGUACGAAUAAGGAUCGGCUAACUCCGUGCCAGCAGCCGAGGUAAUCUGAGCGGGCUGGCAAGGC